rnacentral:rRNA from 1 species
UACGGAGGGAGCUAGCGUUGUUCGGAUAUACUGGGCGUAAAGCGCACGUAGGCGGCUUUUUAAGUCAGGGGUGAAAUCCCGGGGCUCAACCCCGGAACUGCCCUUGAAACUGGAGAGCUAGAAUCUUGGAGAGGCGAGUGGAAUUCCGAGUGUAGAGGUGAAAUUCGUAGAUAUUCGGAAGAACACCAGUGGCGAAGGCGACUCGCUGGACAAGUAUUGACGCUGAGGUGCGAAAGCGUGGGGAGCAAACAGG